UAGCUAGUUGGUGUGGUAAAGGCAUACCAAGGCGACGAUCGGUAGCUGGUCUGAGAGGAUGACCAGCCACACUGGGACUGAGACACGGCCCAGACUCCUACGGGAGGCAGCAGUGGGGAAUAUUGGACAAUGGGGGGAACCCUGAUCCAGCAAUGCCGCGUGUGUGAAGAAGGCCUGAGGGUUGUAAAGCACUUUCAGUGGGGAGGAGGGCUGAUAGGUUAAGAGCUAAUUAGUUGGACGUUACCUACAGAAGAAGCACCGGCUAACUCCGUGCCAGCAGCCGCGGUAAUACGGAGGGUGCGAGCGUUAAUCGGAAUUACUGGGCGUAAAGGGUGCGUAGGUGGUUGUAUAAGUUAUCUGUGAAAUCCCUAGGCUUAACCUAGGAAGGUCAGAUAAGACUGUAUGACUCGAGUAUAGGAGAGGGUAGUGGAAUUUCCGGUGUAGCGGUGAAAUGCGUAGAGAUCGGAAGGAACACCAGUGGCGAAGGCGUCUACCUGGCCUAAUACUGACACUGAGGCACGAAAGCGUGGGUAGCAAACAGGAUUAGAUACCCUGGUAGUCCACGCUGUAAACGAUGUCAACUAGCUGUUGCUCUUAUGAAGAAGGGUAGUGGCGC
rnacentral:rRNA from 1 species